rfam:Oryza rufipogon genomic scaffold, chr05
UUUAAGCGCAGCCAUGAGUUUCUGUUUCCAACUUUAAUCGUCUGUUUUAUUUAAUUUUUUUUUAAAAAAAAUAAAAACAUAAGCCACGCAUAAAGUAUUAUUUAUGUUUUAUCAUCUAAUAACAAUAAAAAUAUUAAUCAUAAAAGAAUUUCAAAUAACACAAACGACCAAAAUUGGAUAAAAAAAUGAGACGGAUGGAGGACAU